CUUAUGCGUUGUUGGGUAGGGGAGCGUUCUGUAAGCCGUUGAAGGUGUGCUGUGAGGCAUGCUGGAGGUAUCAGAAGUGCGAAUGCUGACAUAAGUAACGAUAAAGCGGGUGAAAAGCCCGCUCGCCGGAAGACCAAGGGUUCCUGUCCAACGUUAAUCGGGGCAGGGUGAGUCGACCCCUAAGGCGAGGCCGAAAGGCGUAGUCGAUGGGAAACAGGUUAAUAUUCCUGUACUUGGUGUUACUGCGAAGGGGGGACGGAGAAGGCUAUGUUAGCCGGGCGACGGUUGUCCCGGUUUAAGCAUGUAGGCGGAACGAUUAGGUAAAUCCGGUCGUUUUUUAACGCUGAGGUGUGAUGACGAGGCACUACGGUGCUGAAGUAACAAAUGCCCUGCUUCCAGGAAAAGCCUCUAAGCAUCAGGUAACAUCAAAUCGUACCCCAAACCGACACAGGUGGUCAGGUAGAGAAUACCAAGGCGCUUGAGAGAACUCGGGUGAAGGAACUAGGCAAAAUGGUGCCGUAACUUCGGGAGAAGGCACGCUGAUAUGUAGGUGAAGCCCCUGCGGGUGGAGCUGAAAUCAGUCGAAGAUACCAGCUGGCUGCAACUGUUUAUUAAAAACACAGCACUGUGCAAACACGAAAGUGGACGUAUACGGUGUGACGCCUGCCCGGUGCCGGAAG
rnacentral:rRNA from 1 species